rnacentral:lncRNA from 1 species
UUUUGUUUUGUUUCUACCUUGCCGUAGGCUAUUUGUGUUUUUCUCCUCUUUUUUUUUAUGACUUUGUUUGAUGUGUUUAUGCAGCCGCCAUAUCCUAUCCUUCGCAUCUUUGGUGAGAAGGAUAGGGUACGCUGGGUGUCGGAGGUUUCCGAGGAUUUUGCUGAGCCUUUUCUCCAUGGAUAUCCGGUGGUUCGAAAGCUUCGUAAUACGUUUUGGUUUUAUCCUUCGUAAUACGUUUUGGUUUUGAAGUUGUUAUUUUGUGCGCAGGUUGUGAGGUCUGCUCCGUUGGAAGAUCUUCCUUCGAAUUUUGUCGAAGGAAGUUACGUUACCCCGGUGACGUUCAAGCGUGGAGAUCUGUAUGCGAGGGGUUAUCUAGUUGACUGGUGGCGCCAUAAGUAUCCUACGCGUAGUAUUGAUGACUUAGUUGAUUUCCUUGUUCGUGAUUACUGCGAUGAUCUUAGGCUUUUUCCAGAUUCGUAUGUUAGAAUUGUGCGAGGGUCUUAGAACCUUCGACGUUUUACGGUCGGAGGAUGUUUCUCGUUUUUUGUUGUAAGCUUCUGUUAUGUACAUUGUAUAUGGUUAAUAAAGAUCAGACAUUUUUACCACAUGGUCUCAGCUACCUAUAACCUUCGACUUUUUAUGGGUCGAAGGAUGAUUUUAUUCUUUACUUGUAAACGUUCUUUUGUAAUGAUUUCUUCAUCAAUAAUAAAGUUUUUAAGUUUGCUACAACCUUCGAUCUCAUUUUUAUUACAACCUUCGCGCUACAGCAUUGCAACGUCACGGUGGUGUUGAUCCUAAGGAUCUUUGUGUUGCUGUGGCUUGCUUGUUCUUGAUGCUUGAUGUUGCGAAGGUGUUGUUGAUUUUUUCUUGCGCGGAGGAUCGCCGCUUCUUGGCCUUAGAACCUUCGACUUUUUUGGCGCGAAGGAUCCUUCGCUGAAUUGUGCUGUUUUUUUCCUUUGCUCGACUCCCGUGGAUUGUUGUCGAGGAGAACCUUCGGCUAUCUGAGUCGGAGGUUCUGAAGGGACGUUACGAGACUUCGUGCGAUACCCUUCAGAGACCUCUGAGUCUGACUUCCAUUGUUUCUGUUGUGGCUGUACACGACUUUGUGGUCGAUGUUCAUCACAACGCCGGAGUUCUAGUAUUACGAAGCUUCGUGCGAUACAAACUUUUGUUGGUGUUGUGAGGCUAACUCCUGCUUCCAUGGUGGCCUAGGAUUUUUGCUUUUUGACUGCUAGGUUUGCACUCGAUGCUCGGGUCUUUGUAUACUGAUCCUGAUUGAGGGUGGGGGUAGGGUGAGCCUGGUUUUAUAGGCUUUCGUGCAUUUAUUUUUUGUACUUAGUUAGGUUAAAAUUUAUUGUCGGGUUAUUGAUGGUUGUUGUGGUAGUUGGUUUUGCUGUACCUGACUGAGGGUUGUUCUAGUUUCGUUUUAAUUUCACACUUUGUUUGUUGGGGGUCUGCUUAGAGUAGCAGGAUACCUUCGACCUUAUUUUGGUGAAGGUUAUGUGAAUUUUAUUGAGGUCUGUCUUGUGAAUGUUAAACCUCCGCCGCCUUUUGGCGAAAAUAAUAUAGUUCCUGAUGCCUGAUUCUCCUCAGGUCUUUGUCAGGUUUGAAGGUUUUGUUCCUUCUGGCCAUGUUGUGAUGCCUGAGGAGGACAGGACUUUUUCACUUUUUGGCCAUGUUAUCCUUGCUGCCCGGCUCUUGGCUAGGUCUUUUGCUAAGGAUUUGGUGUUUUUUCACCUUUGAGGACGUUCCGAGCUUUCUUAGCUUUUGGAUGAAAGCUGCGGAGGGUCCUUGUGAUCACGUGAUGUUUUGUCGAAUGCUACAGCCUCGUUGCUGGCUGUUUUUCGACUUUUUGGGCUUUGGUUCUGGGGUGGAUUCCUCUUUAUAUCUCAGAGGUUUUUACAUAGGUUCUGCCUCGUUAAAAACCUCACCUCCUGGUAGGAGUACCCCUGUGAGGAAAAGAGUGCAGACCUUGGAAUGCGAAAAAGUAGAGAAAAAGAAAACGAGCGUAUUUAGGGAUGUGGAUGCCGCCGCUUAUUUUGCGGGGGUCAUCCUUACACUCAAAUGUAAAAUCUACGUAGAUUGUCGAUGUUCCACGUGUGGGUGGAGGUUCUUCCUUCGAGGUCUCUUAGGUAGAAGGAUCCCGACCUUCCCGCUUGUAUUGCUGUAUAAGGUCCUUCCCACUUGGGUUGCAAUUUACCAGCGUUUGGGUGAUCUCCUUUUUUCCUGAGCACCAGGUCCCCAUUUUGUAUGUCUUUUCGUACUACCUUGCGGUCUCUCCAAUUCUUGGUUUCUUGUUGAUACCUGGUGAUGUUCUCCACUGCCUCAAGUCUUAUUGAUUCUAAGGUUUCCUUGUAGUACUCUUCAUCUUCAGCCAACUGCUGCUUCAUGGAACGUAGGCUUUGGUGUUUGAUUUCUUCGGGCAACAUUGCCUCUUCCCCAUACAAGAGCUUGAAUGGGGUGAACCCAGUUGUUCUUGAAACUGUUGUGUUAUGUGACCAUACAACUCUUGGUAGUUCUUCAACCCAUUUUCCCUUGCGUAGGUUGAGUAAGGUCUUGGAGAUUGCGGAGAAUAUUGUUCUGUUUGCUCUCUCCACGGCCCCGUUUGACUCUGGGUGAUAAACAGACGCGAAAGCAAUUUUGGUUCCUAUGUGAUGGCAGAAUUCCUUGAAACUGUCUGAAUCAAACUGCUUCCCGUUGUUGACUGUGAGCAAGCGUGGAACUCCGAAUCUGCACACUAUGUUCUGCCAGAAAAAUUUUCUGAUUGUUUCAGAGGUUAUGGUUGCCAGUGGCUUAGCUUCGAUCCAUCUUGUGAAGUAUUCGAUGGCCACGACGGCGAAUUUGUUUCCCCCCUGGGCAGUUGGCAUUGGGCCUACCAGGUCCAUUCCCCAUCUCUGCAACGGCCAUGAUGCUGGUAUGAGCUGAGUUAGUGCUGAAGGUCCUGACUGAAUUGGUGAGAAGGUUUGGCAGGCUUUGCAUGUCUUCACUAUUUCUUCAGCAUCUUUAAUGUGAGUUGGCCAGUAGAAGCCUUGUCUUAAUGCUUUAGCAGACAACGCGCGAGGUCCAAUGUGAGACCCGCACAUCCUGGAGUGUAUCUCUUGUAGGAGUUCUCUGCCCUCGCUUUGUGAUAUGCAUCUCAGCAAAGGUUGGACUACGCCUUUCUUGUACAGGAUCCCGUCAAUGGAGGUGUAAUUCCUCGAUCUUGCCUCCAUCCUCUUGGCUGUUGCUUCGUCGUCUACAGCUGUCUCGCCUUUGAGGCAAUCAGCUAUUGCCUGCCUCCAAUCUUCGCUUUCUGUCAGCAGGACUGAGCGAAAGGCUUUUGGCAACGAUUCGGUCGCGGGUGUUGCAACAAUCUGGUGGAAGGUUCCUUCUGGCAAGGGGUUGUUGUUGGCUGUUGCUUUCGCUAGCUCGUCUGCCUCGUAGUUUUCGGCUCUUGGAAUGUACUGCAGAGUGAAUCCCUUGAACCUUCUCUCCAGGCCUCUUACGACGGCCAGAUAUUUUGCCAGCUCCGGGUUGUGUGCUAGGUAUUCCUUCUCCACUUGCCCUGCCACCACCUGGGAGUCUGUUUUGAUGAGUAGGGUUUUUGCUCCCGAAGCCUUAGCUUUGUUCAGCCCGAGGAUGAGACCUUCAUACUCGGCUAUGUUGUUUGUUGCUUUGAAUUCGAGUCGUACAGCAAACUUUAGUUUGAGUCCAGAUGGUGCGAUUAGGACGGCUGCUGCUCCUGCUCCCGCUUGACCCCAGGCGCCAUCUGUAUACAGCGUCCACGGCUGAUCGACUACCUUCUCCUUUUCUUUGUUCGAAGGUGUCCAAUCUGCCAUGAAGUCAGCCAGGGCUUGAGAUUUGAUGGAGGUUCUGGGGACAUAGGUGAUAUCAAAUUGUGACAGUUCGGCCGCCCAUUUUCCUAUACGUCCGGAAGCCUCUUUGUUCCUAAGGAUAUCACUCAAUGGCUGUGAAGUGGGCACUUUAAUCUCAUGGCUUUGGAAGUAAUGCUUGAGCUUCCUCGAUGCACACAGGACCGCGUACGCGAUUUUUUCUAUCUCCGUAUAGUUCAGCUUUGCUCCUGACAGAGCUUCAGAUACGUAGUAAACGGGUCUUUGCACCGUUCCCUUACUGUCGCUUGUCUCGUGCACCAGGACACCACUGACAGCGUGAUCGGAGGCAGCCACAUACAGUAGUAGUGGGGUGUCUGGCUCAGGCACUGUCACAACCAGGUUGGUUGCAAUGUAAUUUUUUAGAUGCCUGAAGGCCUCUGAUUGUUCCGGACCCCAUUCUGUUUUACCUUCUCCUCUCAACACUUUGAAGAAUGGGAGGCUCCGUUCUGCCGAUCUUGAGAUGAAUCUGUUGAGGGCUGCUAUUCGGCCAGUCAGCCUUUGCACUUCUUUCUUGUUUGAAGGUUCUGCCAUUGACAUGAUUGCUUUUGUUUUGUCUGGGUUAGCUCUGAUUCCUUCGGAGCUGAUGAUAUAUCCCAGCAUUUUUCCUUUGCUGACCCCGAACACACACUUCUCCGGGUUAAGUUUCAGCCCGGCAGAUCUAAGGUUGACGAAGGUUUUCUGCAGGUCCUUGAUAUGAUCUUCCUUGCGCUUGCUCAUUACGACAACAUCGUCGACGUAGGCUAUGAUGUUUCUCUGUAGCUGACUUCCUAGAACCUUCCCCAUCAUUCUGGAGAAGGUUGCUCCAGCGUUUUUGAGACCUUCUGGCAUUCUGGUGUAGCAAUACGUGCCUAAUGGGGUUGUGAAGCUUGCCUUUCCUUCGUCUUCUUUUUUGAGCCAAAUUUGGUGGUAACCAGAGAAACAGUCCAGCAGUGAGAAUCUCUGACAACCAGCUGCUUUGUCCACAGAGGUAUCUAUCCUUGGCAAGGGGAAGGAGUCUUUGACACAAGCCUUGUUGAGAUCCGUAAAAUCUAUGCACAUUCUCAUUUUGCCAUUUUUCUUGGGGACCAGGACCACAUUUGCCAACCAUUCCGGGUAUAUGACCUCUCUGAUGACCUUUGCGUCCAGGAGUCUUUGUACCUCUGCCUUCGCGGCUAAGGUUCUUUCUUCAGACAUUUUUCUCUGUCUCUGCUUCUUCGGCCUCAUCCUCGGAUCAAUGUCCAGCGAAUGCUCUAUUAUGUCUCUGCUGACUCCUUGUAGGUCAGCGGCACUCCAAGCGAAGAUAUCUUGGUUCUUUUGCAACACGUCUAGCAAUUCGAGUUCCUCCUCUCUACCAAGGGUGGCGGAGAUGGUGACUUUCUUAUCUGGAACAGCUUCCUGCAGAGGGACACAUUUCGUUUCCUCCUGAUCAGCCAGGUCUGUUUUCCCCCUUGGCAUGUCUGGUGGCUGGGAAGCUUCAUGCUGCGUAGAGUCUACGGAGUUUAUGUUCCGGAAGGACUUGUAGAUUGCUUUCUCUAUGUUCCUUGCCUCCUUUUGACUUCCGUGAACCGUUAUCACUCCGUGCAGAGCCGGGAUUUUCAUGCACAGGUAUCCCAUAUGAGCGGCCGCAUUGAACUUGUUCAAGAAUCCUCGCCCGAAUAUGGCAUUAUAUGGGUAGUGCAAGUCUACCACAUUGAAGGUGACGUACUCUGUUCUUGCGUUCUCCGUUGUGCCGAAGGAUACGGGCAAGGCGACCUUCCCCAGAGCAUGUAUCUGCUUUCCUCCGAACCCGAUCAAAGGUGACUCCGAAGGUUGGAGUUGGCUUCUACUGAGGUUCAUUUGGUCAAAGGUUCCAGCAAAUAUUAUGUCUGCGGAACUCCCUGAAUCCACUAAGAUCCUGCUUACUCCCCAACCCGCAACAUUUGUUGUUAUGACCAAGGCGUCUGUGUGAGGGUAGCUUUCCAAUCUUAGAUCUUCCUCGGUGAAGGUUAUUGGGGUUCUGGACCAAUCAGUGCAUCUCACUGGCCCUUGAACUGCAACGUUGUUGACGAGCCUGAGGUGAUCCUUCUUCUGCUUCUUUGUCUGGAACUCCAUUGAAGACCCCCCAGCUAUUGGUAAGAUCAUUCCAAUCGUGGGCAGGGGUGUAUGAGGGCCGAUCUGAUUAUCAGGGUGGGGUUCGGUUUUUGGUGGUGGUGGGGCUUGGAGUAGCUGUAGCUGGUUUGGGGGAGGAGGUAGUGACUGCUGGUGGGGUUGCGGGGUUUCGAUGUACGUAAUGUGUGGAGGUCGUGGAGGAACAUAGUUUGGUGGAAGGUUGUGGUCCGCGGUUUGCUGGGCUGGGCGCCAAGCUGGUAGGAAGGUGGGAUAGUAAGCGGAGGCUAGCGCGCUGGGCUGAAGUGGAGCUGGGUGCUGCUGGCUUGAACCUCCGACAUAUGAAUGGUAGAAGGUUUGAGGGAAUGUGUGAUUUACUUCCCGAGGUUGAGCAACUGGUAUCGGAGGUUGCGGAGCUGACCUGCUCUUGAUCCUCUCCUGAGUUUCUUUUGCAUCUGGGCAAUCUCUGGUGGAGUGACCCUUCUCCUCUCCAUGGAAGAAACAAUACUGUUUCCGUGGUCGCUGACUUUGAUUUUUUCGCCAUCCCGCAUUUCGACCCCCUCUUCCGGCUUGAUUGGGUAUGCGUUCCGAGCUUCGCGCUUCCGCUGGCGGACGGUUAUUUUCCGGCCUGUCAUUUUUCGGUUGCUCGAUAUUCAUCAUCUGUCCACCAGCCUCUCGCUGUGGCCGGCGUUCAUCCUGGCUGAGGUUCUUCUUCUGUGGGUUUCUAUCAUUGCUCUGCCUCUUCUGAGAGUUUUGGUCUUCCAACCUUUUGCGGUAGUCGUUGUCUGACCUGCAAUACUUCUCAAACUCGUGGUACAGCUCGUGCAUGGAUGCUGGCUUUUCUCUGGCCAAAUGGGUCGCGAAGGGCCCUAUGCGAAGACCCUUGAUGGCCGCUUCAAUGGCAACCUCCUCCGGCACGCCGGGUGCUCUUGCCUUAGUCUGUACGAACCUUUGGAAGUACUCCCGCAGUGCCUCUCCCUGACUCUGGCGACACUGGAACAAGUCCGUGGAGGUCAGUGAUUCAACUGCGAAUCCCUGGAAAUUCGCUAAAAUCUUAUCUCGAAGGUUCUCCCAUGAAUAGAUUGACCCGGGUCUCAGCAUUGAGUACCAUGCCAGGGCAUCUCCCUCGGCUGCGAUCACGAAGGAUUUUGCCAUCACAGUCUCGUUCCCUCCAGCUGAGGCCACGGCUGCCUCGAAACUCAUCAGGAACUGGCGCGGAUCGGCCUUUCCGCUGAAUUUAGGGAGCGUGAUAGGUUUGUAGGUUGUUGGCCAAGGCGAGGUCUGCAAUCCUUCGGACAAAGGGGAGCGAAGGUCCGACGUGCCCCGCAGCAUGCCACCGUAGUUUGUCGGUUGCACAUCUAAUGUUGGGCCGGCGCUGUUCGGAACAGCGGGCUGAAUUGUCGGCUGAGGUGGAGGUUGCAUGCUAAGGAUUUCUGCCUGCAGGAAUGAAAGCUGCUGCCUGAUCUCGGCCGCUUGCGUCGCGGCUACCGCUGCCUCUUGGCUGGCGGCGUAGGCAGCAGCGAUCCGGUCUCGCUCUUGCUGAAGGUUCUGCAAUUGCGUUUGCAGCUGCUGGAGCUCUUGCGCGGCCGUCGGUUGCGCCGGGUCUGCGGCGGGGGGAGGUUCCUGGCGUGUUUCCGGCUGCUCGUUCUCUGGCUGCUCGCCCUCAGAACCUUCUCCCUCCACGGUCGCGUACGUGCUUCGCACGGCCCUCCUCGGCCUUCCUCUCCUGGAGGGCUCUGCCCGAGGUCUUGUGGUGCUUGUUCUCUUUCCAGCCAUCGCGGGUUAUACUUCGGGGGCCCCACGGUGGGCGCCAAUGUUGGGGAGAUGCUCUCCGCACUCCCCAGCAGUACGGUGGAUAGUGAACCUUCUCACUCGAUGCCGUGAGAGGUCUGAGCUCCAACGGGCAGUAGGCUCAACAGUAGGUGAAAACAGUGAAUGCUCUCUCUUCGUUUAUUAAUGGCGGUAUCGCGCCCCUUAUAUAGGGCCUGGAAACCGAUCUAAUGGCAUUUACAUAAAUGCCCCGUGACGGUGGGGGAAUAUUCCAGUAUAUUCUUUCAUCGCAGUCUACUGACCCUAAUACACCUGCGUAAUUUCACAUUAAGCCCCUCGUUCAUCCUCUGACUGGGGCCUCAGCUGGUCGGAGGCUUGGAUCCUCCGCCCAGUUGCGGAUCCUCCGACGCUUUGGUGUCGGAGGUUCCUCGGCCCGGCUGGGCCGGAGGUUGCUCGACCCGGCCACCCCAGGAGCUCCUCCUUAGCCUGGUCCAGUCGGAGGUUCCUCGGCCUGGCUGCGUUCUCGCCAUCCUCGGACCCGGGAAGGUCGGAGGUUCCCCCCCUUUCCUUGUUUGUGGGCCUCCGCCGGUGUCUCAGUCCCUGCACACACUUAGCACGACCAGACGAGUCGUCAACAUUAGUAUUUUCCAGUGAAGGAUAUCCUUCGACGCUUCAGGCGUCGGAGGUUCCUUGGGUGAAGGAUAACCUUCGACGCUACCAGGGGGAAGGAUGCAGCUGUUCCCCAACAAAAGACUUUUACAGAUUCGAAAAAAAACAAAGACUUUUACAGGGAGCAUAUUCAACCAACCUUGUCACUAUAAUACAUAUCCAAACUGCAGAUCUAGAAAUGAAGAGCCGAAGUCACAUGGAAAUGGAAUUGCACACAUAACCUCUCUCUCAGUCAGCAAAAGAAGUGAACAAAGUUUGUCUGAACAAACUGUUUUCUGUUUUCAUGCAGAUUCAUACCAACUCACGAUUAGGAUUUACUCUCGUCGCACUUUUCUUGUAUGCUAUAUUCAUGACAUCAGCAGAUCAAGUUUCUUUUAGAUGUGUGCUAUACAAAGUGCGACAAAACUUGCUUUUGCAGCCUAACUGUAUAAAGAUUUAAAAACUUAUGCUAUAUGAAGAGUCUAGAACUACUGUAUGUAUGCCUGCCUUUCGCAUAUACAACAAAUACUGUUCACUGAUUUAUUAUGAGAGAAAAAUACUGCUGGCCGGAAGAAAAAAUACGGUUUAUAAGACAAGCGAACAGAAAUUCCUUCGACAGUGUCCUUUCCUACCGUGAAGCAGAAAUUCUAAACAGCUGAUAUGCACCAAGCUAACCAUGUGUCCUUCGACAGUGCCCUUUCCGACCGUUAAGCAAAAUUCUAAACAGCUGAUAUGCAAUGUCUCAGAAUUACCAGGCGCCAUAUAGAUGUACAGUCAGUUAGUCCACAAGGAACUGUUCCUGCAAGAUCUGUGUAAUUAUGGUCUGGACAGCGGUACUACUAUUCAUGGUAGCCAAUGUACAAAAGCACUGUGUGUAGCCAGUUGUCAUAUGCAAUGUUUAAACCGCCGCCAUCAGUGGCGGACGGACGGGGGGCUGGGGGGGCUGCAGCCCCCCUCGUGGGCCGAAUUUGUUUAGAGCAGGUAUUCAGUCCGGCCCAAAAAUAGUUAACCCUAGAAAAAAAACUCGACGCUCUCGCUCGCAUCCCUCGCGCGCCGCUCGCCCGCGACAGCGCGACCUGCGCUCGCCCUCGCCCGCUCUACCGCCGCCGCCCGCCGCCGCCGCCGGCUCUUCCUCUGCGGCUCUGCCCCUCCCCUCUCCGGCUCUCCACGCGGCCGCCACCGGCCUCCGCGGACCACGCCGACGCGCGCCCGCGCCGACCGCCGGGAGCCCGAGACAGCGACUCAGCGACAGCGAGGGAGGCCAGCCCCCAACCGGCAGCCGGCCAGCCAGCGCCCAGCGGCCGCGCGGGGCGCCCACGGCCACCGCCCACCAGUGCCAGGCUGCCAGCCAGUGGCCAGCGCCCACCACUGCCCUAGCCCCUAGGGUUACGCAGUAACGCAAGCAAGGUGAGAAGAUGAAGAUCCCUCUAUUUUUUUCAUUACUGAAUACUAACUACUGACUAGAUUUACAUUGAGGCCAUUACUGAUUUACUCAUUGGUUUGAAUUUGUAGAAUGGAAAAAUAUUUUUCUAAGAAAGAUGAUUCCAGUAAAGAGUGUCGAGUUGAGAAAAAAGACCCCGUAUUGAGCUUGAUAUGAAUGAUAUAGUUGCUGAUCCAGGUCUUAGAAAGCCAAUUGAUGAAUUUCCUCAAGGUCCCAAGGUGCGUAUUGUUUUAAUACUUUUCUUUUUACUUGUUAUCUUGAUUAUUGAAGAAGUGUAUGACAUUUGCAAAUUAUGUAGCAUUGAGGGUGGCGGUUCAAGUCGUAUUGGUUCAAGUGGUGCCAAUUCUUAAGCUGGAAGACUCCUUGUAUUUGGUACUUUUCUAUCCUUAAUUCUAUGUAUCUUUGACUUUAACUACUUUGAAUCCAUAUCACAUUAUCAAUCUAGGUUAUAUCUACUAGUAUACUGUGUCUACCGAGCAAAAUUUUUUGUUCGCCUUGUUCUUUAGCCCCCCUUGGUCCGUUUCUAGAUCCGCCACUGGCCGCCAUGUAUACCAAGGUUAUCCAAUCGUCCUCACCGUCUGACAUUUUAUAGAUUAUUUAUAUAACAUAUAUACCCUCUUAAUCCUUUUGCAAUCCAGAUAUCGACCAUGUAUGCUUCACAGCAGCAUCAACCAUCCAAAUGGCCACAGUAUAUGAAGAGAUGAAAAACAGCUGUUGGUGUUUCAUACAGUUUGUGUACAUAUAUAUAAUUUGGAGGCAAGAAGCAAGUGAGUUUGUACGCCCUUGGAGAACGAACGCAAGGCAAGUCUAUGACCUCAUCACAGCGACACAGGAGGCACCAUACAUAGGUCAUCUGUGAGCACUGAGCACCGCUGGUGUGGGAUCCUCCUCAUGCCUUCCACCACGGGUCCUCGCCGGUCCUGAAGUCGGUCUCCACCCACGGGACGAAGAGGACCUUGCCGUCGUCGACGUCGGCGUGAACCAGCGCCAGCGACUGUUCACAGAAGAGCAGCGCCGAAGCAGAUCAGUUUCAGUUGAAACGCAACACAAUCAGCUGCAGACUUCCAGUUUAGAAGAAAAUGAAAUUAUUGGGUGCGUUUGUUUUUAUACCAGAGGCGCCGGUCCACGGACCACCUUGCCCUGGUUGUUGUACUGGGAUCCAUGGCAGGGGCAGAUGAACUUGUUCUCGGCGCCGUUCCACGGCACGACGCAGCCGAGGUGAGUGCACACGGCGUUGAUCCCGUAG